GAGAGAGAGAGAGAGAGAGAGUGGUCUUUACAGCUUUUUCUAUGGGCUUUGAAGUGAUAAUGGAGGCAGCAAACUAAUCCAAUGGAGGAGGAAUGUUCUUACAGUUCUUACACUGGACACAGAUGUUGGAGUAAUGAUAAAAGCAAAGCCAAACCAGAUUGCUUUUAGAUAUGGAGGAAUUAUUCUUUUUCAGUUGGUUAAUGCCAUCAUCAACCGUUCGAUUACAGUUUACUUUUAUUAAUUAAGAUAAGAAUAUUUCUUUAAUCUUCUGAUUUAA
rnacentral:misc_RNA from 1 species